UGAUUCAUAAUCCUCCUGCAUGAUAGUAAUUGUUACCAUUGCCUCUCUCCCCUGUAAGAUUGAUGAGAGGAUAUCACUUGAAAACCUCCAGCAACUGAAACUAGCAUUUGAGGAAUUUGAAACGGGUGGCUUGAGAUGCACUGAUGUGAACAGUUUUGGACGUAUAGUGAAGAAGUGUUUGGGUUUGCCUAACACAACCAAUGCUGAGAUUCGAGGGUUAUUUAAGAAGAUUGAUUAUUCAGGCCAGGGAAGGAUUUCAUGGGUGAGAUGAAAUUCAUAUUUCUUAUGAAGCAUACAGGCUUUCUGUGCAAGAGUAUUGUCUUAGUUGUAACACUUUCACAUGCAUGCUAACACCAGAAAUCUACAACAAAAAAUGUUAGGCCACCAUGAAAUGCAAUAAGGUUAUUUCAGUAACAGUAAUUCAUCCAGGAUUUGUGGAGAAAGUGUUACUGGAACUGACCUGAACACAGUCAUUUGGGCUUUUUCAGCCCUUCCAGUGCCAAGUUGACUGUACACUAACACAUUUAUCUUGUGCUGACGCAAAGGCAAAGUAAUAGCUUAU